rnacentral:rRNA from 1 species
AUUGAACGCUGGCGGAAUGCUUUACACAUGCAAGUCGAACGGCAGCACGGGGGCAGCCCUGGUGGCGAGUGGCGAACGGGUGAGUAAUACAUCGGAACGUGCCCGGUCGUGGGGGAUAACGUAGCGAAAGUUACGCUAAUACCGCAUACGAUCUGAGGAUGAAAGCGGGGGACCUUCGGGCCUCGCGCGAUCGGAGCGGCCGAUGUCAGAUUAGGUAGUUGGUGGGAUAAAGGCCUACCAAGCCGACGAUCUGUAGCUGGUCUGAGAGGACGACCAGCCACACUGGGACUGAGACACGGCCCAGACUCCUACGGGAGGCAGCAGUGGGGAAUUUUGGACAAUGGGCGCAAGCCUGAUCCAGCCAUUCCGCGUGCAGGACGAAGGCCUUCGGGUCGUAAACUGCUUUUGUACGGAACGAAAAGGCUCUGGCUAAUACCUGGGGCUCAUGACGGUACCGUAAGAAUAAGCACCGGCUAACUACGUG